ensembl:lncRNA
AGGCAGGCUGUUUGGAGUUUCAUAUUACUGUAUAUACUGCAUAUAUACGGUGGGAGGGGGGGGGGCAUCUAUCAACACUGCAACACAAUGGUUAUCAGCAUGUCCUAAUGGCUGUAGCUGCUGGUUGGAUGCUCUCAAUGUCCUGCUGCAUCUGCUGUUGUUUCAAUCACAGAAAAAAAAAAAAGCAUGCUCAACUAAGGGAACCAGAUGAGGGUGUGACGUCAUCCAACGAGACAGGGGACAACUGAUGGACCUCUGAGACUUCAUACAUUAUGUCAAUCUACCUAUUAUUUCAACAUACUGUGUGGAUUAGUCCACAUCAAAUACAGUGCCUUGCGAAAGUAUUCGGCCCCCUUGAACUUUGCGACCUUUUGCCACAUUUCAGGCUUCAAACAUAAAGAUAUAAAACAUAACAUAAACAUAACA